rnacentral:rRNA from 1 species
AGCGAACGCUGGCGGCAGGCCUAACACAUGCAAGUCGAACGAACUCUUCGGAGUUAGUGGCGGACGGGUGAGUAACACGUGGGAACGUGCCUUUAGGUUCGGAAUCACUCAGGGAAACUUGUGCUAAUACCGAAUGUGCCCAUCGGGGGAAAGAUUUAUCGCCUUUAGAGCGGCCCGCGUCUGAUUAGCUAGUUGGUGAGGUACAGGCUCACCAAUGCGACGUUCAGUAGCUGGUCUGAGAGGAUGAUCAGCCACAUUGGGACUGAGACACGGCCCAAACUCCGACGGGAGGGAGCAGUGGGGAAUCUUGCGCAAUGGGCGAAAGCCUGACGCAGCCAUGCCGCGUGAAUGAUGAAGGUCUUAGGAUUGUAAAAUUCUUUCACCGGGGACGAUAAUGACGGUACCCGGAGAAGAAGCCCCGGCGAACUUCGU